rnacentral:rRNA from 2 species
CUAGCUGGUCUGAGAGGAUGACCAGCCACACUGGAACUGAGACACGGUCCAGACUCCUACGGGAGGCAGCAGUGGGGAAUAUUGCACAAUGGGCGCAAGCCUGAUGCAGCCAUGCCGCGUGUAUGAAGAAGGCCUUCGGGUUGUAAAGUACUUUCAGCGGGGAGGAAGGGAGUAAAGUUAAUACCUUUGCUCAUUGACGUUACCCGCAGAAGAAGCACCGGCUAACUCCGUGCCAGCAGCCGCGGUAAUACGGAGGGUGCAAGCGUUAAUCGGAAUUACUGGGCGUAAAGCGCACGCAGGCGGUUUGUUAAGUCAGAUGUGAAAUCCCCGGGCUCAACCUGGGAACUGCAUCUGAUACUGGCAAGCUUGAGUC